UCACGACUCACGAUAUAGAAAAUAGAGUUUAUUUGUUAAGUAGCCAAAAUAGAAAAACGUAUUGCUUUGUAAGCUACGUUGCAUGGAAACGGAAACGGAUACGCGGAAAUGAAAUUCGGAAACGAAAAACGAGUUUUUAUGAAAUUAAGAUAUAGAAACUUGAACGGACAAUCGUUCCAUUUACUACUGUUCACUUUUCUCUCUCUGUGUACGAUUUUUUAGAUCUAGCUUUUUUUUUAUUUUUUCUUUUGCCCAGAUCUUUAUGGCUUGACUUUUUCAGAAGAGAAAGGGCAGUAAGAGUGAGCUUCCAUUCAUUCCCGUCAGCGUAGAGGUGGGUUCCGACAAACGAUAUGGUUGUAGCACAUCCUCGGUGGCUGUAAAAUCUCUGAUCUUAAUAUCUUCGGUUGAAGACUACGGAUGUUUGCUUUGGAGAUUUUCUAGGCUCAACCAUCGUGUUUGUUUCUAUGGUCGCGGCGGAAGUUGUUUGUUGGUAAGGAGGGUGAGCUGUCCGUUUAGUAAUUAGCAGUGGAUCUUUUGAUCGUAGCCGACUGUCGUGGAUAUUGGUUUUGGAGGGUUGUUGAGCCACCAAGCCUCCUUAACUACCAUGAUUACUGUUUAACUAAACCGGAUCUGUGUUUGGUUGUCUCGGGAAAAGGUUGUUAGUAGCUCUUCGAAGGUGGCUGAGUGUUAUGUUUGUGUCGGAUGAGUUGCUAGGAAGGGGACUCUCCGUUUAUGGAGGCCAUCCAGUCGGAAAAUGGGUAUUCCCGAGAGGUGUGUUGCAGAGCGGCGGGUCAUUUGAGCUGAUUCGGAGCCGGUCUCGUAUACUCCGGCUCCAUGAAUUUGUCUCAUUCGAUUCAGCAGCGAAGUAGUCUGCCUCGUAUACGUCGGAAAUGGAUGCCGGAGUUUCUGCGGCGGCUAAUCAGCUCAGAAAGAUCUUAGCUGCUUGAUUAGGGCGAACCCUUUUUCUGUUCGUGUAACUUUAUCUUUUGUAAUUUGCAGGUCCAAAAGCCCAUUUGGGAUAAGGCCCAUUAAUAAUAAUGAAAAAAAACAAAAGAUAUAGAAAC
rnacentral:lncRNA from 1 species